rnacentral:lncRNA from 1 species
UUUCUCCGGUAACACACCGAAAUCCGUUAUUUUUGGAAAAUUUAUCCAACAGUCUGCAAAUAGCUUUCAUUACGCUAGUCAAAUGUUCAAGAUUCUAAAUAAACCUCUUUAUAUUUUGUCCAAAGAAAAAAAUGAUACAUCUAACACGGGUUAGGUUGUUCCUAACCAGACAAAUACAUGACUAAUUUUGUACAAAAACUUUCAGUGUCCUCAGCAAGAAGCAGGGACCAACCUUUGUGGAUACUAUGUUUGCAGACACAUGAUCUCCAUCUGCAAAUCUGCUGAUAGUUGUGACGAUCCUCGCAAAUUAGUACCAGUAAGUCUAUCUUAAUUAAUAUCUUCUACUCCACUCAUAUGGCACAUUCUGGUCUUAAAAAUAUUGCAGCUCAUCUUAAAAUCAAGGACCCCUGAACCGCUCCCGGCUGGUGAAUUGCUGAUGGUUCGGAGAUUUAUCAGCGAUUUCUUGUGGCACCCCGGCUCAGAGAAACCGGAACGCCCCGUAUUCCAGCCCAGAGAUCGAGGAGAAGUCUCUGGAAUACGGCACUGCUUGACAUAGAACAAAUCAGCUCUUAUUACAAGAAUAAUAAUUACACGGGUCUGGUGUUACAAUGAUCACAUCAGCAUGGCGACACUACGCCUGCGAUACUACACUUGCUCUAUGCUAGCAGCGGAACAUCUCGUAGCAGCAGAAAACUUCUAGCAGCAAAACAAUGACGCAGGUGGUGAAAUCCACUCCGCAGGGACUCUGGCUGGGACACGAUCUAGCUCGCACGAAUGGAAACCACGACAAGCAAUCAAGCAAUCACGGCAUCACCUGCAAUCUUGCAUGACACGCAAGGUCAGUACAUUGAAUGUACUUGCAAGCUCACAACAACCAUAAACAUCAAGGCAAGACAAUAACAUAACAUCAACAGGUUAAUUAAUUAUCAACUACCAUGAUGAAGCAACUACUAAGAAUGAGAUAAACUAAUACAAUGCUGAUACAUCACCAUCUCAGAUCUCCAUAACCAUAUCUCUCUUGGCUAACCGGCCAAGCAAUAUACCCUCUCGAUUAACUCAUGAUCGAAACCAUACGGUGAUCUUUCCGGCGAUCACUACCAUGACCAACACUUGGUCUCAAACUGUGAUCUUUCCGGUGAUCACUACCAGGACCAACACUUGGUCUCCAACCUCAUCAUCAACAUCCUGCCAAUCUGUACUGCUCAACAUAUCAACUUAUAAAUCACCUAUAAGUCAUUCCAUCAUGUGAGUGUUGAUCGAACGGUGGGACCUAGUACGGACGUGACUAUCGAUAGAUUAAAUACACUCUGCAGAGGUAGCACACUGUACCCACACCACAGAACCCAUGGCCUCGCACUCCCAUUCGGGUGGACCAACGGCAUUCCGACAAAACCGAUCUACUGCCAUGACACUCUCCCGGCAACUCUGACCCAAAUCCCCAACGGGCUGGUCCUGGGUGGCCCCGUGUCUACCAAAGACACCCCGACCACUGUCGUGGUCAAAACACUCCCACUCGGGGACUCGGAUCCAUAAAAACAACAACGAGCACACAAGGUUAUGUCUGCUUACCAGGCCAGGGUACGCACACCCAUAACCUUCCCUAGUUGGAGGCACCGGCGAGAUGCACGACAAUAGACCGCAUUAGGGCCUUCCCCAUAAAGGCAAAUGUGGUUGCACUGGAAAAGCCCGAUUCGGCGGCACCUGAUCAACUUAAUGACGGAAUUUAUCCCCAAAAAUAUAACUGCAAUGGCUGAUACUCCGAUAUCAACUAUCAAACUAGAAUCCAAAUCAUAGCAAUAUCCAACAAAUAAUCCAAGCAUAAUAUCAUCCUCUCAAAAUACUCCAAGGGUAGCACUACACUACUAUCAUGAUGAAUCCAGAAACAAUAAUCCUACUACUCCAAUAACAAGAACAAAGCUAUUCGGCUAAGGUCCACAUGUAAACAUCAUUUCCAAAAAUAAUACUCCAAGCAACAGAACAUCAACUAGCACCAUGAAAAUAAUCAUACUAACCACUAAUAAUCCAAAGGCAGCAUGAUAUCCAAAGUAAUACUCCCAAAGAUAAUAACAGGUAUCAUCAUGAAGAUAAUCAUACUAACCACUAAUAAUCCAAAGGAAGCAUGAUAUCCAAGGUAAUACUCCCAAAGAUAAUAACAGGUAUCAUCAUGAAAAUAGUCAUACUAACCACUAAUAAUCCAAAGGCAGCAUGACAUCCAAUGUAAUACUCCAAAAUUAUCAUAUCCAACACCACCAUGAAAAUAAUCAUAACAUAAGCCACUAAUAAUCCAAUGGCAACAUGUCAACCACAUAAGCUGCAAAAUAUAAGUCCUAGAACUCCAAGCAACAUCAUGGCAAUAACAAGAUCAAGAUACAACUCUGAGAAAUUGCCAUGCACAAAGUCAUGUAGCUAAAGCAAUAUUUUAACAAGUUCAAAUAAUUUAAACCAUGUCACUGCAUUGCAAUCAUGCAAAUGAAGGGUGUGGCUUGCCUGGGGUGGAAGAAAUCACCAGGAGAAAGUGCGAGAAACUCGCGGAAAGGAUCGCCGGAAAACGUACUCUCUCGGAGGGGGCUGAAUAAGGGCAAGGGGAAAAUGGUCAUUUUCAGAAUGUCAAAACAUGGUGAAAAUGGGUCCAUCAGAACGGGCUCGAUGAAACGAAGAAGUGGGCUUUGGAAUCACCUCAUUUGGAGUUGUGGUUAAAAAGAUAUGAGGUGUUUUCUGCCAGGGACCCAUCUGUAAUGAAAAACUUCAAAAUCUGGGCAUGGACAGAAAAACAGAAAGCGCCUUCAGGUUUAAUACGUUUUCUGUGAAAGAAAACGGCU